GUUCUGCUCUGUUGGGUGAUUGGAUUUGGGCGUUGCCGGCCUGGCCGGCUCGCCUUAAAGGCGUUAGUGGGAUCAGCAGACCCGAUCGGCGUAAUAAGUUUCGCUGAGGAGGUUUGCGCGAGACCGCUCACAACCCUCUCCUUUGGAGAACACUCUUUUGAUCUGACCUCAAAUCAGGUAGGACUACCCGCUGAACUUAA
rnacentral:misc_RNA from 1 species